rnacentral:rRNA from 1 species
CCGGGCGGCACGGGUGAGUAACACGUAUCCAACCUGCCGUCUACUCUUGGCCAGCCUUCUGAAAGGAAGAUUAAUCCAGGAUGGGAUCAUGAGUUCACAUGUCCGCAUGAUUAAAGGUAUUUUCCGGUAGACGAUGGGGAUGCGUUCCAUUAGAUAGUAGGCGGGGUAACGGCCCACCUAGUCAACGAUGGAUAGGGGUUCUGAGAGGAAGGUCCCCCACAUUGGAACUGAGACACGGUCCAA